AGGGUGAUCGGCCACAUUGGGACUGAGACACGGCCCAAACUCCUACGGGAGGCAGCAGUAGGGAAUCUUCGGCAAUGGACGAAAGUCUGACCGAGCAACGCCGCGUGAGUGAAGAAGGUUUUCGGAUCGUAAAACUCUGUUGUUAGAGAAGAACAAGGAUGAGAGUAACUGUUCAUCCCUUGACGGUAUCUAACCAGAAAGCCACGGCUAACUACGUGCCAGCAGCCGCGGUAAUACGUAGGUGGCAAGCGUUGUCCGGAUUUAUUGGGCGUAAAGCGAGCGCAGGCGGUUUCUUAAGUCUGAUGUGAAAGCCCCCGGCUCAACCGGGGAGGGUCAUUGGAAACUGGGAGACUUGAGUGCAGAAGAGGAGAGUGGAAUUCCAUGUGUAGCGGUGAAAUGCGUAGAUAUAUGGAGGAACACCAGUGGCGAAGGCGGCUCUCUGGUCUGUAACUGACGCUGAGGCUCGAAAGCGUGGGGAGCAAACAGGAUUAGAUACCCUGGUAGUCCACGCCGUAAACGAUGAGUGCUAAGUGUUGGAGGGUUUCCGCCCUUCAGUGCUGCAGCUAACGCAUUAAGCACUCCGCCUGGGGAGUACG
rnacentral:rRNA from 1 species